rnacentral:rRNA from 1 species
UACGUAGGGGGGCAACGUUGUCCGGAAUCAUUGGGCGUAAAGAGCGUGUAGGCGGCCCGGUAAGUCCGCUGUGAAAGUCCAGGGCUCAACCCUGGGAUGCCGGUGGAUACUGUCGGGCUCGAGUCCGGAAGAGGAGUGUGGAAUUCCUGGUGUAGCGGUGAAAUGCGCAGAUAUCAGGAGGAACACCAAUGGCGAAGGCAGCACUCUGGGACGUGACUGACGCUGAGACGCGAAAGCGUGGGGAGCAAACAGG